GUAGGGUGCGAGCGUUAAUCGGAAUUACUGGGCGUAAAGUGUGCGCAGGCGGCUGAGCAAGUCGAGUGUGAAAGCCCCGGGCUUAACUUGGGAAUUGCGCUCGAAACUACUUGGCUGGAGUGUGGCAGAGGAGGGUGGAAUUCCACGUGUAGCGGUGAAAUGCGUAGAGAUGUGGAGGAACACCAAUGGCGAAGGCAGCCCUCUGGGCCAACACUGACGCUCAUGCACGAAAGCGUGGGGAGCAAACAGGAUUAGAUACCCUGGUAGUCCACGCCCUAAACGAUGACGACUAGUUGUUGGAGGAGUUAAAUCCUUUAGUAACGCAGCUAACGCGCGAAGUCGUCCGCCUGGGGAGUACGGUCGCAAGAUUA
rnacentral:rRNA from 1 species